ACCGGGGGACCCGCUCAGCCUCCUCCAGCCCUCCCCCCCACCAGGGGUCAAUGCCCACAGCUCAGAGAACAACAAAAGGACUGGGGGGUGCAGACCAAAGGGCCCCCUCGCAGCCAUUCAGUUGCCUUUCCCAUACCCGGCCCUCAAUGCUUUCUCAAGCCCUGCCAAGGACAUUUCUGUGCACCUAAUCCUGCAAUUCUGGCCCAGCCAGCCCCCCACCAAACCCUUAAACAAGGACGCUUCCCUCUCAAACCCCUACUUGCCAGGUUUGGCACAGAAAGAGCAGAGGAUGGAGAAGACACCAGCUGGAGGCCAGAAGAUCCCCAGAGCCCCAGACCCACCCAGGGGGCUCCCCCAGCCUCGAGUCUGAGUCAGGGUACAGGGACACUCCCCUGGGUCUAACCGUUGUCAGCCCAAAGGAACAGCCCAAGCACCAGCUUUUCCCGCCAGCCAUCCUCCCUCCACCCCCGAAUGCUGAGCACAACGGUGACUUCCUGAAGAGAUCACACAGAGAAGUGCCGAGUGUGGCGGCUGGAAGCUGAAAAGUGCCUCCUCGACAGAUUUCACCCUCUGCAGAAGGCCUGAACUCAGCACAAGUGCAGCCACUCGCCUCCUAAUCAAAGGUGUAGCGUGUGUCUGCGUGUGGUGGGGGAGGGGCAGGUCUCUGCAAAGCCUGUGCUUCAGGCUCCUGACCAGGCCUCUGCCCACCUGGGACACACACAGGUGUGACAGUGAUAGCCUUUGGGGAGGGACUGUUAGAGACAGCUCAGGGUACCCCUAGAAGCCAAAGAAAGGGUACCCGGGAGGCCGGAUUAAGGAGAAGCUUCUGCUUUUCCCCCGUCCCACAGGCUCUGUCAUCCUUCCCCGCUCCCCUUCCCCAGAGGCUGAGCCACCUCGUAGAGAGGGCUCGGGUGGUCCCAACAGCCUGGAAUCCCCAGGGUAUGCUGGGCCACCUCCUCAGGCUGACAGCCAGCUGGGAAGGGAAAAACGGGUUCAAACAGUGCCACCCCUUACCUGGGCCCAAACCAGGAUGUGGACAGGUGGCAAGAGCAACACAGCCAGCCAGCCCCUGCUCCUGGGCCUGGCCCCAAAUUCUAGUGGCCUCAACCUAGCCUGGCCUUCACCACCUCCUCCGAGAUCCCCCAGCCGCUGAAAGCCAUUCUGGAAAAAGCCAACGACUCAAUUUCCACUAAGAAUAAAGAAGAAGACUUAGAAAACCA